rnacentral:misc_RNA from 1 species
AAAAUGCGAAACGUGAUGCGAUUUGCAUGAAUCUGUGAGUCAUCUAAUCUUUGAACGCGAAUGGCACUGUUAUGUAAGUAACAGUAUGUCUGUUUGAGAAUCGCAAAAACAAGAUCAACUCUAGUUGAGAGUUGGGAUUGGUCUUAUACAUCUAGUGGUGUAUUUGACUUGAUUAUAUCGAGUUGAUGAGCUUCCCAAUGCGGCUCAAUGUGUGCUAGCGAGACAGUCGUCCCGAUCUCACAUUUAUUGUCGCAUUGCAGAGUUCUGUCCACAGCUCGCUAAACAACCUAAAAAUCAUAUCAAAUACGAUCUCAAAUCAGGCAAGAUUACCCGCUGAACUUAA